AGCAGCCUCCACGGAAGAUAAGCGAUAUUCUAGUAUCAAGUUGUUUACGUAUCUUGACUAGAUUAUCACUUAUCCUCUGAGGUCGCU
rnacentral:pre_miRNA from 1 species